GAGAUCUUCCUGCGUCUCAAACGACCCACGUGCGCCAGUAAAUGUCAUGGAAACAGAAUGACCGUCACGUCAUGUAGGCCUAUAUAAAUGCCCGCAGACCCGUCAUUUCUCACUUUGCACUACCUGGACCUGGACAUGAGCUGAAAACCUCUUGACCCAAACUGUGGAAAGCUAACUUUUGGAAACUUCUAAAAAGCGGACCUAAGAGCGAACAAAACAACUGCUUCACGCAACUUUUGUGUUAAACCCGAAGAGCCUGAAGUCUUCAGUGGACCACUGGUCGCUGAGGACCACCUGCUGUCAGGGCCUACCACCCAGGUGGACGCUAACCCUGCAGGUGGUGCUAAUUUCAUCACUGCAUCUGCUUCUGCAUCUGCAUUUGUGUUUUAUUAACUGUCACACUGUUAGCGUGAGAGUCUGCAACAUUCCAGCCAACUUGUACUACAGUUACAGUUUAAGCUGAAAACGUAUCCGCAAGGAUGUUUGAACCACCUUUCUCCCAGCAAAAGGUUUGUUUUGACAAAAAGUGUUUUAUCACCUCCUUAUACACGGUCGCCCAUAAAAUUGGAAUUAUUUUGUUUUUAAACACAAUCCUCAGUUAAUUGUGGUUUCAUUUAAUUAGAAGAAAUUGAUUAAUACAGUUUUGAGAAGAUAAGAGUAGGGAGUAGCUGCCUGUGAGGACAAAAGCUACACAUGCCCUGUUGAGGACCACCUGAUCUUUAGGAUGCAGAACACCAGAACCUGUAAAAGGUGAGGUGAGAAAACACAGCAGCAGCUGACACCAGUUUUAGUCUCCUCAUCCAUCACUCAUUUUACACUGCACAUACAGACUAGAGACGUUGCUUGUCAUGUCAAUGUGAUUUGAAAUUCAUCUGGUCCACUUGUUCCAUUGUCAUGACUCAUGUGGCGGAAUUUUUUAUGUAAGUUCCCUUUAAUACAGUUGUGGUGCCCAGUCUACCAGACAGGAAGACUUCAGCAACCUGUCUCUUAAUCUUGCACCUGGAGGUUCAGUCCAGCAGAUGCUCCAGGAUUACCUAAUGGAGACGGAGCUGGACUUCCAGUGUGAAUGCGGGGGCAACAAAUCUGGCCAGCAGUCCCGUUUCUCUGACCUCAUAUUAUAUCAUGUUUAUUU